UUAUUAGAGUUUUUAGCCUAGUUUUGUGUCCUUGAGUCUUGUUUAAUAUUUUUGAAUUAAUUUAGAAUAGAUUAGCAAUCCCUCCUAAUCCCCGGCCUAGAACGAUACCCUACUUACAUCUAUACUACAAUUGUCAAAAAGAGGGUUUAAUUUGUGUGUCAAGUAAUUUUCGCACCAUGGGCUUAUAUGUUGGUUUUGGGUUUCGGGGCCCAAAAGCGUUUUGGUCCAAAAGGCCCAUUAUGUUUAAGUUGUAUGACAACAAAAACAAAAUGGGCAAAUUAGCCCAAUAACAAGGAGAGGCCGGCCAUUAGGGUGAAUGGGCAAGUUUGCUUAAUUACAAGUUUGCCACUCACCAAAGAAAAUGUUAUAAAAGCAACUUUAUAGCAAUUUUCUCAUUAGGGGUUUUCUUGUUGAAAUUGGGUGAAACAUUUUCUCCAUUUUCUUCUAAGGAGGCCGGCCACUAAGGGAAGGGAUAUCUAGCAAUCUCUUCUUCCCUUAGUCAUCCAUUUCAUCUUCACAAGAUACAACCUUGGUGAAGAGACUUAGAGACAUCAAGCUUUUGGUGUUUUGGAGAACAAAUCCUUAUUUCCUCAAAUCUCCAAAUGAGCACUAAAGGGAGGAAAACACAAGGAGGAUUCAAGGAGCUUGGAGGUGACUUGAAGGCCCUCCACUUGGGUGAAUCCCUUGUGUAAACAAGGAUGAGCUUCAAGGGUAAAGAAACUCUAAAUCUUUACUUUUCUUUAAUGUUGUUAAAGAGUUUAUUUUGGUUCACCAUAUACUAGGCUUUGAAAGUCAUGAGUUUUAUGAAUUGUUUUUGGAUGCAUGCCUACUUUAAAGUGUUAAUAGCUUGCAUGUGUAUUCAAAUGUUCAUACUUGUUCUUAGCUAGGUCAAAAUUUUUCCUUCACUAACUAGCCUAUUUCACCAUUUAAUUCACCUGAUUUCGUACCUAGUUUGAUUUAGUUUUGCAAUCUGUUCAAUUUAAUUAAUUUCGUUCAAAUCAACCCCCCCCCCUUUUUAUUAAGUGUGUUAGAUUAUUUAGAAAAGUGUUUAAAUCUGUCCAAGUUUUGAGUCUUCAUAGUCUUAAAUUCGUCUAAAUCACUCCCUAGAGUCUAUUUUGAGCCCUUUUAACUUAGUUUUGCUGUUUUGAGUCAAUUUGGUCAGUUUUGAGUCUUAAGAGUCUAGUUUUCUGUUUUUGAGUCAAGUUUAGUGUUUUAAAGUUUAAAUUGAGUAGAUUAGCAUCCCUUUUAAUCCCCAGCCUAAAACGAUCCCUACUUACAUAUACUACAAUCAUAGGGUUUUAAUUUGAGUGUUAGAUAAUUUUCACAUCAAUUCUGCCACUCUUGAGAAGCUCGUCACCAGCCUCUCUUCUUCUAAGAGAAAGAAAAAGGUUGCUAAUUCUGAGUCUGCCAAGCCUACUGUUGUGAAGGAGGCUCAAUUCUCACGCCUUAGUCCUGAGAUACUUCCAGAAUCAACACAUGACACGGGAACAUAGGGGACAUGGUAACAUAUGUACAAAAUACACAAUAAAAUAUUAGAAUUAAUACCUCAAAAUACGCAUGAAAGUGGGUUCUCUCCCACAAAAUAUAUACAAGUUUGUAUACCCGAAGCACACAGCCUUCACUAGGGCCAAGACAUGUGCUCAAGCUCUCAAAUAUAAGUCUAAAAAAUAAUACAAGGAAAGGUAAAAGGGUAACCUAGUCGCUCUAGCUCUAUGACCUCUAAUCUGCUACCUCACUAGCUUCUCGUAUCUACUCAAGCCUUCCUCUACAAAUUAGCCUCUACACUGUGGGAAUGGUGCACAGGGUAAAAAACAACCCAAAUAAGUUGCGAUAUUCAUGUGAGUAACGAUAAUCCAAUGUAUGUGGUGUUCAUAAAAAAAAUCCAUUGAUCUCAGUUAUAAAAUCAUAGUCAAACUCGUUCGAAAUCUUGAAAGAGUCACCUAGACAUCCAACAGGUUUUUCUAAAUCAAACCACAAAGGUUCUUAAUCUACAGUUCAUAAAAUACACUUAAAAUAGGGCUAGAGAGAUGCCAUUUGGCGGAAGACUACAAUAAGUAACUAAGAAAGAAGUAGCCUUUCAUAGCAAAUUAACCAAGCAGAAGUAGACCUGGCAAUUUCUUACACGACACGUAAAUGACACGAAAAUAACGAGUUUCGGGUCGUUAUUGGGUCACACGAUAAAAACCUGUUAAUAACAGGUCCUUAACAGGUUUACACGAGAGUGGAACGUGCGUAACCCGUUUCAACACAAUAAAAAAAGAAGUUAUUUUGAUGAUUUUAAUUUUUUCAACUACUAAAAAAACUUACUAUAAAAUACAAUAGAUAUAAUAGAUAUGUACAUAUUGUUUAUUAAU
rnacentral:lncRNA from 1 species